rnacentral:tRNA from 2 species
AGCCCGGUGGUGUAGUCUGGCCAAGCAUGGGGGCCUUUGGAGCCCCCGACGGGAGUUCGAAUCUCCCCCGGGCUA